rnacentral:rRNA from 1 species
AUUGAACGCUGGCGGCAGGCCUAACACAUGCAAGUCGAGCGGAUGAAGGGAGCUUGCUCCUGGAUUCAGCGGCGGACGGGUGAGUAAUGCCUAGGAAUCUGCCUGGUAGUGGGGGAUAACGUCCGGAAACGGGCGCUAAUACCGCAUACGUCCUGAGGGAGAAAGUGGGGGAUCUUCGGACCUCACGCUAUCAGAUGAGCCUAGGUCGGAUUAGCUAGUUGGUGGGGUAAAGGCCUACCAAGGCGACGAUCCGUAACUGGUCUGAGAGGAUGAUCAGUCAAACUGGCAUGGAGACACGGCCCAGACUCCUAGGGGAGGCAGCAGUGGGGAAUAUUGGACAAGGGGCGAAAGCCUGACCCAGCCAUGCGGGGUGUGUGAAGAAGGUCUUCGGAUUGUAAAGCAUUUUAAGUUGGGAGGAAGGGAAGUAAGUUAAUACCUUGUUGUUUUGACGUUCCAAAAAGAAUAAGCACCGGCUAAUUUCGUG